rnacentral:rRNA from 1 species
CCUACGGGAGGCAGCAGUGGGGAAUUUUGGACAAUGGGCGCAAGCCUGAUCCAGCCAUGCCGCGUGUCUGAAGAAGGCCUUCGGGUUGUAAAGGACUUUUGUCAGGGAAGAAAAGGGCGGGGUUAAUACCCCUGUCUGAUGACGGUACCUGAAGAAUAAGCACCGGCUAACUACGUGCCAGCAGCCGCGGUAAUACGUAGGGUGCGAGCGUUAAUCGGAAUUACUGGGCGUAAAGCGGGCGCAGACGGUUACUUAAGCAGGAUGUGAAAUCCCCGGGCUCAACCUGGGAACUGCGUUCUGAACUGGGUGACUAGAGUGUGUCAGAGGGAGGUAGAAUUCCACGUGUAGCAGUGAAAUGCGUAGAGAUGUGGAGGAAUACCGAUGGCGAAGGCAGCCUCCUGGGAUAACACUGACGUUCAUGCUCGAAAGCGUGGGUAGCAAACAGGAUUAAAUACCCUGGUAGUCCACGCCCUAAACGAUGUCGAUUAGCUGUUGGGCAGCAUGACUGCUUAGUAGCGAAGCUAACGCGUGAAAUCGACCGCCUGGGGAGUACGGUCGCAAGAUUAAAACUCAAAGGAAUUGACGG